GGCCUGUUCGUCUAGUGGUUAGGACGCCGGCCUCUCACGCCGGUAACACGGGUUCGAGUCCCGUACGGGUCA
rnacentral:tRNA from 1 species